rnacentral:rRNA from 1 species
UACGUAGGGUGCGAGCGUUAAUCGGAAUUACUGGGCGUAAAGCGUGCGCAGGCGGUUCGUUGUGUCGGCGGUGAAAGCCCCGGGCUUAACCUGGGAAUGGCCGUUGAAACUGGCGAACUGGAGUGUGGCAGAGGGGGGUGGAAUUCCCGGUGUAGCAGUGAAAUGCGUAGAGAUCGGGAGGAACAUCAGUUGCGAAGGCGGCUCUCUGGACCAGCACUGACACUGAGGCACGAAAGCGUGGGGAGCAAACAGG